rnacentral:lncRNA from 1 species
CAAAUUGACAUUCCAGACAAGCGGUGCCUGAGCCCGUGCCUGUCUUCAGAUCUUCACAGCACAGUUCCUGGGAAGGUGGAGCCACCAGCCUCUCCCUGGCUCUGCCGACUUCCAGUUCUGGAACAAGAUGGUUAAACUCAUUUUUCCCUGCUCUGCUCCUCUAAAUACAACUAAGUACCUUGGAAACUAUUCAGCAGACAAUGAUAAAGGGCUCUGAAAGCUAGAAGAAAAGGUGUACUUGCAAGAAACCUCAGGACUUGAGUAACAGCAACAUGGUCCAAAAAAGCCCCAGGCUCAGCCAGAGCAGGGCAGAGGACAGAUGACAGAGGACAGAUGGCCUGCUGCAGUGAGGAACUACUCUCUCUUCUGAGAGCUUCAGAGACCUGCAGAGACAUAGGGACUACCAGCUGCAGAGAGAAGUAACUUUCUCGAGGGCCUCCUUUCUGGUGAGAGCAGCAGAUGUCAGGAUGAUGACCAAUAGCAGAGAGGAGCUACCCUCUCCAGGGCCUCCUCUCUGCUUGAGAGCUGAGCACUCAAUGGGAAGAUCUGCUUACAGAGAAGAUGAUCUGCCUACAGAGAGGAGCUAUGCACUAAGGGUUUCCUCUGAGCUGUUCUAACACUUAGUAAAGCUUUCUUUGUCUUGUU